rnacentral:rRNA from 1 species
UUGAACGCUGGCGGCAUGCCUUACACAUGCAAGUCGAACGGUAGAGGGGCAACCCUUGAGAGUGGCGAACGGGUGAGUAAUAUAUCGGAACGUGCCCAGUCGUGGGGGAUAACGCAGCGAAAGCUGCGCUAAUACCGCAUACGAUCUAAGGAUGAAAGCGGGGGAUCGCAAGACCUCACGCGAUUGGAGCGGCCGAUAUCAGAUUAGGUAGUUGGUGGGGUAAAAAGCC